rnacentral:rRNA from 1 species
GACGAACGCUGGCGGCGUGCUUAACACAUGCAAGUCGAACGGAAAGGCCCUGCUUUUGUGGGUUGCUCGAUUGGCGAACGGGUGAGUAACACGUGUGUAACCUGCCCUUGUCUUUGUGAUAACUUCUGGAAACUGGGGCUAAUACCCGAUAGGAGCUCCUGCUGCAUGGUGGGGGUUGGUAAGUUUCGGCGGUUGGGGCUGGACUCGCUGCUUAUCAGCUUGUUGGUGGGGUUGUUGCUUACCAAGGGUUUGACGGGUAGCCGACCUGAGAGGGUGACCGGGGACAAUGGGACUGAGAGACGGAGCAGACGGCAACGGGAGGCAGCAGGGGGGAAUAUGGCACAAUGGGCGGAAGCGAGAUGCAGAAACGCCGCGUGCGGGAUGACGGCCUACGGGUUGUAAACCGAUGUGGAAUGAGACGAAGAGGGAGUGACGGUAAUGGGUAAAGAAGCACCGGCUAACUACGUG